UACGUAGGGUGCGAGCGUUAAUCGGAAUUACUGGGCGUAAAGCGUGCGCAGGCGGUUUUGUAAGCCAGAUGUGAAAUCCCCGGGCUUAACCUGGGAAUGGCAUUUGGGACUGCAAGGCUGGAGUGUGGCAGAGGAGACUGGAAUUCCUGGUGUAGCAGUGAAAUGCGUAGAGAUCGGAAGGAACACCAGUGGCGAAGGCGGCUACCUGGCCUAAUACUGACACUGAGGCACGAAAGCGUGGGGAGCAAACAGG
rnacentral:rRNA from 1 species